UACGUAGGGUGCAAGCGUUGUCCGGAAUUAUUGGGCGUAAAGAGCUCGUAGGCGGUUUGUCGCGUCUGCUGUGAAAACUCAGGGCUUAACCCUGAGCCUGCAGUGGGUACGGGCAGACUAGAGUGUGGUAGGGGAGAUCGGAAUUCCUGGUGUAGCGGUGGAAUGCGCAGAUAUCAGGAGGAACACCGGUGGCGAAGGCGACUUCCUGGCCUGUUCUUGACGCUGAGGCGCGAAAGCUAGGGGAGCAAACAGG
rnacentral:rRNA from 1 species